rnacentral:rRNA from 1 species
CCCUUAGAUGUUCUGGGCCGCACGCGUGCUACACUGAGUAAUUCAAUGGGUAAGGGAACGCUAGAGCAUUACCUAAUCUUGAAAUUUGCUCGUGAUGGGGAUCGACGGUUGCAAUUUUCCGUCGUGAACGAGGAAUACCUUGUAGGCGCAUGUCAUCAUCAUGCGCCGAAUACGUCCCUGCCCUUUGUACACACCGCCCGUCGCUCCUACCGAUUGAGUGAUCCGGUGAGGCUCUGGGACCUGGACGGAAAGAGCGUUUCGCUUGUUCUGUUUGGGAAACUUGGUCGAACCUUAUCAUUUAGAGGAAGGAUAAGUCGUAACA